UUGUCUCUCUUGAGUGGAUCCUGAGUACGACGGAGCACGUGAAAUUCCGUCGGAAUCUGGGAGGACCAUCUCCUAAGGCUAAAUACUCUCUAGUGACCGAUAGUGAACCAGUACCGUGAGGGAAAGGUGAAAAGCACCCCGGAAGGGGAGUGAAAUAGAACCUGAAACCGUGUGCUUACAAGUAGUCAGAGCCCGUUAAUGGGUGAUGGCGUGCCUUUUGUAGAAUGAACCGGCGAGUUACGAUUUGAUGCAAGGUUAAGCAGUAAAUGUGGAGCCGUAGCGAAAGCGAGUCUGAAUAGGGCGUUUAGUAUUUGGUCGUAGACCCGAAACCAGGUGAUCUACCCUUGGUCAGGUUGAAGUUCAGGUAACACUGAAUGGAGGACCGAACCGACUUACGUUGAAAAGUGAGCGGAUGAACUGAGGGUAGCGGAGAAAUUCCAAUCGAACCUGGAGAUAGCUGGUUCUCUCCGAAAUAGCUUUAGGGCUAGCCUCAAGUGAUGAUUAUUGGAGGUAGAGCACUGUUUGGACGAGGGGCCCCUCUCGGGUUACCGAAUUCAGACAAACUCCGAAUGCCAAUUAAUUUAACUUGGGAGUCAGAACAUGGGUGAUAAGGUCCGUGUUCGAAAGGGAAACAGCCCAGACCACCAGCUAAGGUCCCAAAAUAUAUGUUAAGUGGAAAAGGAUGUGGCGUUGCCCAGACAACUAGGAUGUUGGCUUAGAAGCAGCCAUCAUUUAAAGAG
rnacentral:rRNA from 1 species